rnacentral:rRNA from 1 species
UACGGAGGGGGCUAGCGUUGUUCGGAAUUACUGGGCGUAAAGCGCGCGUAGGCGGACCUGCAAGUCGGGGGUGAAAGCCCGAGGCUCAACCUCGGAACUGCCUUCGAUACUGCGGUCUCGGAGUCCGGGAGAGGUGAGUGGAAUUCCUGGUGUAGCGGUGAAAUGCGUAGAUAUCAGGAGGAACACCGGUGGCGAAGGCGGCCCUCUGGACGGUGACUGACGCUGAGACGCGAAAGCGUGGGGAGCGAACAGG